CUUCUCUCAGCCUACUUCCUUAUGUGCAGGCGGGAGCUAUAUAUUCGGCAGUUUGGAUUGGGCGGAUUCUGUCAAUCCCUGCAUUGACCAAUUAAAAUGCGUCUUUCACUUUCUAUUUUGCAUUGGACAAAAGGGUGAAUUGGCCAUGCCAUUGUAAAAUCAAAUUAUUUGAUAGUUCAUCUAUAUCUUAUAUUUAACCAAUACUUUAAAGUUUGUCAUAUUUCCCAUUAGGUUUAGGGUUUAAGAAUGGCGGGUUUAUUAAAAGAAAUAAAAGAUCUCUACCCAGACGUGGCAAGAGAACUCGAAAAAGCAGAGUUCCGCAGCGACGACGAAAUCCGGACAUUGACCAGAGAGGAUCUCCAUGAACUGCUUCGUGGCCCUAAGAAGCUCAAGCAGAGAAAGGCCGUUUAUGAACUGAUACACCAGCAGAAGCCAAUUGGGGAUCUUUUAAAAGACUUAAAAGAUGUUAUCCCUGCAGAAUCUUUGAAAGCUGCCCUGACAGAGAAUGGGGUCUUGAGUGGCUACCUGCAGAUCAUGAAGGACUUGACGUCCCAAGUAGGAAAGGUCCAAUCCUUUUUGCAGGAACAUGUGAGCCUGCUGGAGGAACACAGCUAUAAGGCGGCGAAAGGUUUCGGGCAGGCUAAGGUAGUCCCCAGUUCAAGCUCUCCAGAGAGCGGUCAAAGAGAUGGCUCUGACCUUAGAUCAGAUACUGACCCAGAUCCUCAUCCCAGCAACGUUGACCCAGAUGAGCCACUAGGAGCCCACAAAGCACAGCCUGUAGCAGAGGUUUCAUCCUCUGUUUCCACAGAGCAAAUGAGAAAGACUGAAAAACUCCCUACUCUAAAAUUCUUGUCUAUUGUAUCUGGCGAUACGUUUAACCAUGAAAAUAUCAUAUUGGACCGGUUGAGGAGCCGGGGAAAAAUGAUUCUGGUGAACACAGAGGACAGCCCCAAGCUCAUUAUUGUGUUCUGCUCAAUCCAGUCAGAGUUUGACUCAGACUGCCUCGCUAUCAGAUUGAAUUGCCCAGAGUCAUUGUUUGACACACCUGUCAUUUUGGUUAUGAUGCAUCACACAAUGAAACACAACAAAGGACUCAUCCAGAAGCCAGGGCCAUCCCUCAAGAAAUGGAACAUUGUGUUGGUUGUCAACAUUUUCUACCACGUAACCUUGUGUGGGUUGCUACUCGGCGACAUGAACGACCAGGCGGUCAAUCAAAUGCACACGUUAUUACUGAAAUACUGUGGAAAAAGCAUCUGCGACAAGUGUCAACGAUAGAGACAUUGCAAUGUCGGACCCCUGCGGUCAUAAUAGCAGCGCUUCCGAAUCGUUGGUUAGAUCAGGAAAUGACAAUAUGGCUUUCCUUGCUCAUGAAUGCAACACUGGUACUAGUAGUAAUGUCUUCUCCCAAAGGACUAGUAGUAGCAGUAGUUAUGGUAGUCAUGACAACUGGGAUGCUAGGGUUCCUAGUGUGGAUACACGUCCCAGUGGAAGCCAAGGCAACCCAAAAGGUAUGGUUGAUAAUGUCGCUACAAGUCACAGCAGUUUGAGGGGUAAUAAUAAUAAUAAUAAUAAUAAAUGAAAUUUAUAUAGCGCUUAAUAUGGUACUCUAAGACGCUUAAUGAUACACACUUCUGGUUUUCAUUGCAACCAAGUAGGUUAUGGUGGUAAUGCCAGAACACGUAUUAGUAGAAGCAGCGGGAUGGAUGGUAAUGACCACAGUGCUGGUAAGGUAGAUCAAGGAAGCAGAGCUGGUUUCAAGAACCCUCUCUAAGAGGAAAGGAAGGAAAUUGUUCAUCCAUGUGCUGCCAGUGCUAUAGUAUUGUUUUUAUUUUUUUAUUCCUCAAUCAGGAAUAUUAUGUUUUGUGUGAAACAAUGGCAUCAUGGGUUAAUGAAGGGAAUGGUGGGUUAAUAUAUUUGUAUUAGAUCAAAGGGUAGGCUUAUCUUUUUAAUGAUUAUAUUUGUACAAUAAAAGUACUGAUACAAGAAUGCUUCAAGCUAAAUCGUUCAAAAAAAUAUCGAAGCCUUCAAUUUACCAAUGCCAAUAACCAAUGCAAUGUAUGAUAAAGCCUUGAUUUACCAAAGCGUUCAAUAUGCUUCUGUGACUAUGCAAUAUAAAUAUUUAAAGUAAACACUCCGAAGUCAGAGUCCACAGACGUUUUUCCAAUGAAGUAUUUCAAAUAAAGGCAAUGGAUUAAUCCCAUUCAAUGCAUCAGGAAUGUUUUUGAGACCUGUCGCAUCAAAUUGUCCAAACUGUCACCAGUCUACUUAACUCUACACAAUGUAAGGUUACUUUUCAUCACGAGACUCUGUCUGGCAAUGAAUAAAGGACUUCGAUGUAAGGUAGUAAAAAUUAGAGGCACCAGAAAGUGACAGAAG
ensembl:lncRNA